UGCACGCGCGAGAGAUGCCCUCCCACCCGAUUCCACACCCACGGGAGACCGCCCUCCGCCGCGGAGGGCCACGCCAGCGAUCUCCCCUCAGCCCACAUGCCUCCUCUUUCCUCUCCAUUAUCCUUCUCUCUCCGCCCCUUGUUCAUCCGCGACGGCCUGAGCUCACCACGAUCCAUGGCCCUCUCCUUCUGCCAGCAUCGGUACAUCGCGGGUCGUCCGUGGCGCUCGACCUCCUCGUUCCGCGCCGCCCAUACUGCACUGCGCACGCGCGCCUCCUGAUCCAUGGCCGCCUUUUGCCCAGCUGCGAGAUCGAUGUUGGGCGCCAUGACCAGCCUCUUGCGCAGCUCGUCCAUGACGUUGGGGCUUCUGUAGAGAAGAAAUGAGGGAGGGAGAUGAGCAGAGAGGGGGGGAGGAUAAACAGAGGAAGGAGGGGGAGAGCAAGGGAAGAAAAGAGCAGAGAGAAGGGGCGGCGCCGCUCCGGCGAGCUGCGGCUGGGGUCCUCGGUGGCUGCCUACUGCGUGGUUGUGUCGUUGAAGCUCACAUGAUGGAGUGUUUAUGCACAACUGAAGUUGGCACAUUCAGUUCUGCAUAUAUCGAACAGCCUUCAAAACUUCUGAAAGCAAAGAGCUGGAGAACCAUCCUCUAGACUCUCCUGUAUCCCCACAGAUUAUUUUGCUUCCAAACUUCUGAUAAACACAGCAGCUUCCAAUGCAAUUUCACUUGCCAGAUGUUGUUAUUCAGGAGGAGGAUUUCCGUAGUAUCCCUGGGCUGGAAUAGAAUUCCUUGAUUUGAUGUCAAGAAUUGGCAACUGCAGAAUACAUUGUCUCGAGGUACAAUCACACUUGAUUCUCAAACAAUCAUUGAUUCAUGAAUUGCAGCAGGGUGAACCCAAGAUGUCCGGAGCCUCUCUUGUGAAUCACAUUGCUUACAAUGAUUUCAUGAUUGAGGUUUCACAUAUGAGUUAUGGUAUUUCUAUCCUUAAAAGUAUGUAAUAAAUCCACAAUUCAGUUUGAGUUAUGCACUUGCUUUUUUAAUCAGGAUUAUACGAUUAUUAAAGCACAUACAUCGAAGUUUUAAUAUAGGCAGGUUGCAUGCACACGCACCUCUUUGCCCAGGUAGGCAAUUUUCAGUUCUAUCUGUCAUAUUAUUUUUUAAAUAUAGUGGCAUCUCGACUACCCUCUUGUGAACCGAUUAGCCAUUGUUUUGCUAAAAAUAGCAAUUACAUAUACAUUUAGUCAAUCUUUUUGCAUAUCUCCUUCCAUGCUAUGAUUGUCAUCUUGAGAAAAAAUAGGCAAAACGGGUAAAGUUGUAUAAGCUCUUUAUGUUUGCAAAUUUUUGUUUCGGGGGAACUAGAGGAUCGAGGAUUUCAAUUUGUCAGGGCUCGUAGAAUGUCAAAAGAUGAUUUCUAGAUUAAACUUAACAUCGAUCAGACUGGUUUCUAUAGUGAGUUAUGAUGAGGAACUUGCAUCCCGAGUUAGGUAUGCAGUUGAGACCAACACACUGAGUGCAGCAGACGGAUAAAACUUUUGCAUGGUUUCUUACAACUUUAAGUCUUUCCAUGUUCAACUAUUCUCACAUUAUUACUGUCUGAUCACUACAGGUGUACUUGAUGACACAUAUGCCCUUUGUAUGGCUGGUAAACAGAAGGUGGUCACGUUGCUGCAUUUGAUUGUUGCGUACAAGGAUGAUACUGAGUAUAAUGUGCUUGCACAUGCCAUCAACUCACUACUCUUCCUAUUCUAAUUAAUUUUUGUUGUUCCUAAACUUGAUCUUGUUCUAAUGAUAAUUUAUCAUGCAGUCUCUUCUAGCUUUUCAGAAAUCCAUCCCUUGCAAGUGAGGUGGCUGGGAUGCCAAAAGUGGGGAGGGUCACCUGAAUACACUGUUAAGAGGUGUAAAGGAAGUGAAGUGUGAACCCAGUGUUUCUUUUGACUACUCCCAAGUCUGAAAUGAAUUCCAUGAGGAGGAAAAGGCUGAAUUGAGUGCUUGAAAUAAAGGAGGAGCAUCCUAAGAAGCAGUCAGGUUGGAGAAAAAGAUCAGAGUUUCAUCUGUUGUGAAAGUGGAAGGUAAUUAGACGUCAGAAGAUUACAAGGAAAGAUAAAGCGGAUAAAUUUACACGGAAUCAUACCACAUGAGCUCACAUCGCGAUCCACAGACGAUCCAUCUCUUUCAAGAGCGGCCGUUGUCCCACGACAUAGUUUCUUGACCUGCCAACCAUGAUUCAUAGGAUAGGAAGUGGUGCUCUCUCCCGGUGCAAUGCACGGGCAUUUGUGCUAGUGUUACUAAGCGUACCAAAUUUCACUGGAAGGACUUGAAGCAUGUCAUAAACUUUGUUGAUAAUCUGACAGAGAUAGCACAGC